UUACGAUACCCGGGUAGUCCACGCCGUAAACGAUGAGUGCUAGAUGUUUCUGGUAUUGACCCGGAGGCGUCGUAGCUAACGCGUUAAGCACUCCGCCUGGGGAG
rnacentral:rRNA from 1 species